CACGUAGGGUGCGAGCGUUGUCCGGAAUUAUUGGGCGUAAAGAGCUCGUAGGCGGUUUGUCGCGUCGGCUGUGAAAUCCCGAGGCUCAACCUCGGGUCUGCAGUCGAUACGGGCAAACUAGAGUAUUGCAGGGGAGACUGGAAUUCCUGGUGUAGCGGUGAAAUGCGCAGAUAUCAGGAGGAACACCGGUGGCGAAGGCGGGUCUCUGGGCAAUAACUGACGCUGAGGAGCGAAAGCGUGGGGAGCGAACAGG
rnacentral:rRNA from 1 species